rnacentral:sRNA from 1 species
CGCCUAAACUCUGCUUUUGCAGAGCAUGGUACAAAAACCGAUCAAGGUAUAAAGCUCGUCGUCAGAGCGCCUUGAUCGGUCAUAUCUCGAAAGAGGUAUGGGUCCCGCAAGGGAUC